ACGAACGCUGGCGGCAGGCUUAACACAUGCAAGUCGAACGGUUGUAGCAAUACAGCAGUGUCAGACGGGUGAGUAACACGUGGGAACCUUCCUAGGGGUACGGAACAACUCAGGGAAACUUGAGCUAAUACCGUAUACGUCCGUGAGGAGAAAGAUUUAUCGCCCCUAGACGGGCCAGCGUAGGAUUAGGUAGUUGGUGAGGUGACGGCUUACCAAGGCGACGAUCAGUAGCUGGUCUGAGAGGAUGAUCAGCCACAUUGGGACUGAGACACGGCCCAAACUCCUACGGGAGGCAGCAGUGGGGAAUAUUGGACAAUGGGCGAAAGCCUGAUCCAGCCAUGCCGCGUGAGUGAUGAAGGCCCUAGGGUUGUAAAGCUCUUUUGUGCGGGAAGAUAAUGACGGUACCGCAAGAAUAAGCCCCGGCUAACUUCGU
rnacentral:rRNA from 1 species